GACGAACGCUGGCGGCGUGCUUAACACAUGCAAGUCGUACGGUAAGGCCCUUUCGGGGGUACACGAGUGGCGAACGGGUGAGUAACACGUGAGUAACCUGCCCACAACUUUGGGAUAACGCUAGGAAACUGGUGCUAAUACUUGAUAUGUGCCCCUGCUGCAUGGUGGGGGUUGGAAAGCUCCGGCGGUUGUGGAUGGACUCGCGGCCUAUCAGCUUGUUGGUGGGGUAGUGGCCUACCAAGGCGGCGACGGGUAGCCGGCCUGAGAGGGUGACCGGCCACAUUGGGACUGAGAUACGGCCCAGACUCCUACGGGAGGCAGCAGUGGGGAAUAUUGCACAAUGGGCGCAAGCCUGAUGCAGCAACGCCGCGUGCGGGAUGACGGCCUUCGGGUUGUAAACCGCUUUCAGCAGGGACGAAGCUUUUUGUGACGGUACCUGCAGAAGAAGCACCGGCUAACUACGU
rnacentral:rRNA from 1 species